AGCGCGAAGAAGGCGGCCAUGAGCCCGUUGCAGGCCCGCCACAGGGCCGGCGCCAUGGGUCGGACAGCGCGGCGCGGGGCGGUGAGGUGUGGUCAGCUAUUCCAGAAUGUGGCAGGGGUGGAGGCUGGACAAAGUCUGAAACAGGGUCAUCACCAUAGCACCUGACAUACCUGGAUAUAAACAAUAUCCAAGGAAGAGGAAGAGGCUCCAGAGCUGGCUCUCUCCUGGCCCACACAGAGGAAAGGCUAUGUGAGGACACAGGGAGAAGAGGGCAUCUAUAAGCCGGGAAGAGAGGCCUCACUGGACACCAACCCUGAUGGAACCUUGAUCUUGGACUUACAGCCAGCAGAGCUGUGAGGAAGUCAAUGUUUAAGCAUCAUCCUAGUCUGUAGUGCUCUGGCAGUAGUGCUCUGGCAGACUGAGCAGAAGAAUACUUAUUCUGUGCUCCCUCCCACCCAGUCUCCAUAUUGCAGCCAGUGACUGUAUGAGACACAAAUCUCCAACUUCUGCUUAAGA
rnacentral:antisense_RNA from 1 species